ensembl:lncRNA
GUCUGUCUGUCUGCAUGGAGGUAGGAGGGGUGUCUGUCUGUCUGCCUGUCUAGUGAUCUACCAGAUCUGUCUGGAGGUAGGAGGGGGUCUGUCUGUCUGCCUGUCUAGUGAUCUACCAGAUCUGUCUGGAGGUAGGAGGGGUGUCUGUCUGUCUGUCUGUCUAGUGAUCUACCAGAUCUGUCUGGAGGUAGGAGGGGUGUCUGUCUGUCUGUCUGUCUGUCUAGUGAUCUACCAGAUCUGUCUGGAGGUAGGAGGGGUGUCUGUCUGUCUGCCUGUCUAGUGAUCUACCAGAUCUGUCUGGAGGUAGGAGGGGUGUCUGUCUGUCUGUCUGUCUAGUGAUCUACCAGAUCUGUCUGGAGGUAGGAGGGGUGUCUGUCUGUCUGUCUGUCUGUCUAGUGAUCUACCAGAUCUGUCUGGAGGUAGGAGGGGGGUCUGUCUGUCUGCCUGUCUAGUGAUCUACCAGAUCUGUAUGGAGGUAGGAGGGGUGUCUGUCUGUCUGUCUGUCUGUCUAGUGAUCUACCAGAUCUGUCUGGAG